rnacentral:rRNA from 1 species
UACAGAGGUCUCAAGCGUCGUUCGGAUUCAUUGGGCGUAAAGGGUGCGUAGGUGGUUAGGUAAGUCGGAUGUGAAAUCCCGGGGCUCAACCUCGGAACUGCAUUCGUUACUGCUUGACUAGAGUACUGGAGAGGAGAUUGGAAUUUACGGUGUAGCAGUGAAAUGCGUAGAUAUCGUAAGGAAGACCAGCGGCGAAGGCGGAUCUCUGGACAGUUACUGACACUGAGGCACGAAGGCCAGGGGAGCAAACGGG